rnacentral:rRNA from 1 species
CGUAGAAGACUAGUGUUAUUCAUCUUUAAUAGGUUUAAAGGGUACCUAGACGGUGAAACUAACCGGACUGGAAAUAGUUUUACUUGAGUUUAUAUGAGAAGGGGAGUAUUUAAGGAGUAGAGUUGAAAUUCAUUGAUACUUUAAGGACUGGUAAAGGCGAAAGCAACCUUUUAUGUAAAACUGACGUUGAGGGACGAAGGCUUGGAUAGCGAACAGGAUU